rnacentral:rRNA from 1 species
UACGUAGGGGGCAAGCGUUGUCCGGCUUUAUUGGGCGUAAAGAGCGUGUAGGCGGUCAGGUAGGUCCGUUAUGAAAACUCGAGGCUCAACCUCGAGACGCCGAUGGAAACCAUCUGACUAGAGUCCGGAAGAGGAGAGUGGAAUUCCUGGUGUAGCGGUGAAAUGCGCAGAUAUCAGGAAGAACACCCGUGGCUAAGGCGGCUCUCUAGUACGGUACUGACGCUGAGACGCGAAAGCGUGGGGAGCGAACAGG